GCCCCUCCUUCUGAAAUGUUCUGAAAGCCUGGAUGAUCACAGAAGAGCAGCAAAACCUAACGAAGAGGAACAGAUGGGAUAUCAAGUAUCAAAUCCUUACCAGUCAGUGACCAUUUUUCCUAAAGAGAGUCGCAGCCCAAUGACAGCCGAGGUCGAGGAUACUCUAGUAUGAGUCGAAGGACCAGUAGCAGCCCAAUGACAGCCGAGGUCGAGGAUACUCUAGUAUGAGUCGAAGGACCAGUAGCAGCCCAAUGACAGCCGAGGUCGAGGAUACUCUAGUAUGAGUCGAAGGACCAGUAGCAGCCCAUGCGACCGCAACAAGUACGCCUGCUGCUCCUACGGGGGCAACAUGUUCGUUCUGGGAGGGAGAGCGUGCCACUCGCUUAGGGACUUCUGGAGGUAUAGUGUCGAUUUGUGGAGGUCUACAAUUUCCCCAUGAUGUCAAGCACAGAGGCACUGAGUUUGAAGGUAGGCCUUGAAAUACAUCCACCUGUACACUUCUAAUUGACUCAAAUUAUGUCAAUUAGCCAAUCAUAAGCUUAUUAAGCCAUGACAUAAUUUUCUGGAAUUUUCCAAGCUGUUUAAAGGCAAAGUCAACUUAGGUUUUGUAAACUUCUGACCCAUUUGAAUUAUGACACAAUGAAUAAUAAGUGAAAUAAUCUGUCUGUUAAAACUCAUUUUUAAACCAGCACAGAUUUCUUGUUAACGAACUAUAGUUUUGACAAGUCGGUUAGGACAUCUACUUUGUGCAUGACACAAGUAAUUUUUCCAACAACUGUUAACCUGUUGAGUGUAGGGGGCAGUAUUUUGAUGUUUGGAUGAAAAACGUACCCAAAUGAAACUGCCUAUUUCUCAGGCCCAGAAUCUGAAUAUGCAUAUAAUUGUCAGAUUAGUAUAGAAAACACUCUAACGUUUCCAAAACUGUCAAAAAUAUUGUCUGUGAGUAUAACAUAACUGAUAUUGCAGGAGGAAACCUGAGGAAAAUCCAACCCGGAAGUGCUGUUUUAACUGAAAGCUCUCUGUUCCAUAGCCUGCCUUUGCUCCAUUUAAAGGGAUAUCAACCAGAUUAAUUUUCCUAUGGCUUCCCCAUGGUGUGAACAGUCUUUAGAUAUAGUUUCAGGCUUUUAUUUUGAAAAAUUAGCAAGAAAGAUCACAUCACAUUUGGAUGGCUGGGUGCCAGCAGCGUUUUGCAUGCGCAACAGCUUGGAGCAGACAUUUUCUCUCUCUCUCCUAUUGAAGAAGCUACAGUCCCGGUUUUUCGAAUAUUAUCGAUUAUAUAUUGUAAAAACAACCUGAGGAUUGACUAUAUUAUUAUAUUAUUGACAUGUUUCUACGAACAUUACGGAUACUAUUUGGAAUUUUAGCUUGCCCGGACUUGACCGCUGGAGCCUGUGGAUUUCUCAACAUAAUGCACCAACCAAAUGGAGGUAUUUUGGAUAUAAAAAUAAUCUUUAUGCAACAAAAUGAACAUUUAUUGUGUAACUGUGAGUCUCUUGAGUGCAAAAAUCUGAAGAUCAUCAAAGGUAAGUGAUUCAUUUUAUUGCUUUUCUGACUUUCGUGACCAAUCUACUUGGCUGCUAGCUGUUUGUUUCAUUUUCCGGUCGAUUUCUCAGCCAAACGUGAAGAACAAACGGAGCUAUUUCGCCUACAAAAAUAAUAUUUUUGGAAAAAAGGAACAUUUGCUAUCUAACUGGGAGUCUCGUGAGUGAAACUAUCCAAAGUUCUUCAAAGGUAAAUUAUUUAAUUUGAUUGCUUUUCUUAUUUUCGUGAAAAUGUUGCCUGCUGCUAGCAGGGCAUAAUGCUAUGCUAGGCUAUGACAAACUUACACAAAUGCUUGUCUAGCUUUGGCUGUAAAGAAUAUUUUGAACGUCUGAGAUGACAGGGUGAUUAACAAAAGGCUAAGCUGUGUUCCAAUAUAUUUCACUUGUGAUUUUCAUGAAUAUGAAUAUUUUUCUUAUGUCCGUUGCGUUAUGCGAAUUAGUUAUUUAUGGAAUUUCUACAUAGGAGGCCCAUUUUCAGCAACCAUCAAUCCUGUGUUCCAAUGGCACCUUGUGUUAGCUAAUCCAAGUUUAUCAUUUUAAGAGGCUAAUUGAUCAUUAGAUAACCCUUUUGCUAUUAUCUUAGCACAGCUGAAAACUGUUUUCUGAUUAAAGAUGCAAUAAAACUGGCCUUUAGACUAGUGGGUUCGAUUACAGGCUCAAAUAUUUUUAGAAACAGAACUUUCUUCUGAAACUAGACAAUAUAUUCUUGUUCUGAGAAAUUAAGGCUAUUCCAUGCGAGAAAUUGCCAAGAAACGGAAGAUCCCGUGCUGUGUACUACUCCCUUCACAGAACAGCGCAAACUGUCUCUAACCAGAAUAGAAAGAGGAGUGGGAGGCUCCGGUGCAGUCAUUUACAACACUAAACAAUGUCUACACUGUAUUUCUGAUCAAUUUGAUGUUAUUUUAAUGGACAAAAAAUGUGCUUAUCUUUCAAAAACACGGUUAUGUCUAAGUGACCCCAAACGUUUUAACGGUAGUGUAUAUACUGAAUAAAAGUAUAAACGCAAUGUAAAGUGUUGGUUCCAUUUUUAUGAGCUUAAAUAAAAGAUCCCAGAAAUGUUCCAUACGCACAAAAUGCUGAUUUCUCUCAAAUUUCAUUCUCAAAGUUGGAAGCACAGAAUUGUCUAGUAUGUCAUUGUAUGUUGCAGCGUCAAGAUUUCCCUUCACUGGAACUAAGGGGUCUAGCCCGAACCAUGAAAAACAGCCCCAGACCAUUAUUUCUCCUCCACCAAACUUUACAGUUGGCACUAUGCAUUGGGGCAGGUAGCGUUCUCCUGACAUCCACCAAACCCAGAUUGUAUUCCAUCAGACUGCAAGACGGUGAAGCGUGAUUCCUCACUCCAGAGAACGCAUUUCCUCUGCUCCAGAGUCCAAUGGCGGUGAGUUUUACACCACUCCAGCCGAUGCAUGGCAUUGCGCAUGGUGAUCUUAGGCUUGUGUGUGGCCACACACAAACCCAUUUCAUGAAGUUCCCGACAAAGAGUUAUUGUGCUGACGUUGCUUCCAGAUGCAGUUUGGAACUCGGUAGUGAGUGUUGCAAUGGAAAACAGAUCAUUUUUAUGCGCUGCGCUCGUUAGCACUCAGCGGUCUCAUUCUGUGAGCUUGUGUGGCCUACCACUUUGCGGCUGAGCCUUUGUUGCUCCUAUAUGUCUCCACUUCACAAUAACAGCACUUACAGUUUAUCGUGGAAGCUCUAGCAUGGCAGAAAUUUGACAAACUGACUUGUUGAAAAGGUGGCAUCAUAUGUUUAUGUAUGUAUAUAUUGUGUAAGGUUAAUUUGAGCUUGUACACAUCCACAGCUGAAAGCUGAAUGACAUUAUACACAUUAUACACUAUACAGACAAAAAUAAAAUGUAAAAUAUGUACAUUUAUGUGGAAAUUAAGAGUUGAUUGAAGAGUUGAUUGGAGUGGAGGGAGCAUCGUUAGUCUCUGAGCAGAGGGAGCUAGACCUGGGCAGAAAAUACUUGUAUUUUGCUGUUUAUUUGAAAAUAGCAACUUUUCAAAUACUCAAGGUAGUCGAAUAUAGUUUCUAUAGAGUUUUAAAUAAAAUGCAACAAUUUUCAUUGACAUUCAAAUACCAGUCUCAGAAAAAAUGUAAUUUUUUAAAAGUAUUUUGAAUAUCUUUCAGAAAACCAAAUAAUAUUUGAAGAUAUUUCAAUAUAUAUGCAAGUUAUUUGAAAAUAGAAACAUUUUAGUUCAAUUGUCAAUAUAUUAUUAUAUUAUUAUAUUAUUAUAUUAUAUGAUCAUAAGCACAUGGUUUGGAGGACUCUGAGAUAUUUAUCUUAAUAUAGCCUAUAGCUAGAAUUAAAUACAAGGGACAUGAACUCAUCUCAACAUUGGAGUAGACCACUUUCGCAGCUUCAAAAGGAAGUAACCCAUAUAUUUUUGUAAUAAGUGAGACACAAGGUAAUGCAGUAACACUUGACAUCAACUUCCGACACAUAAGUAGUAACUUUGAUUAUUACAAUAGCAACAUAGUUGUUACAUAGGACUUUGAGGAAAUACAUGUAUUUAUACUUAUCUGUAGAAGAUAUGAUUGGUUUACUUAGUUUGACUUGAUUAUGUACAUCUAGGGCAAUGGACAUUCGGGAGAAUGGACAUAUACAGAAUGUUCAGAUAUAAAAGUUGCUUUCUGAGGCCUGUAUUCAAAUAGUUUCCCCAGAACAAAUAGUUCCUUUCCAUAAGCAUAGUUACAACGAUCGUUAUCUCAGAUCUGGAGGGAGCAUAACUCUGUUAGUCUUGAAAUGGUCUGCUACAAUCUGUUUAUGUCAGCCAUGCAGACUGUGAUUCAAUCAUGUUAUUAUAAGAAUGUUAUACAGUGAUGUUAUUACGCAUUAGGACUGUAAGUAUGGCCCUAACCGCUGUGUGUGUGUCUGUAGUGCACAAUGAGUGGACAGAGUUGGACUGUAGCUGUGAGGUGUUCUGGGUGUUUGAUAUUGCUAAGUUCCACUGUGGGAAAAAUGCAACUCAAUAACUACUGUAUGACACAAACAUAAUGAUCCAACAACAAUCCAAAACUCUUCUACACCUCACAAGAGAGGUGUUAAUAACACAUGUUCAAACUUGCAUCUGACAUUUAAAAUAGGGAGUGACGUCAAAGAAUGGCUGCCAUUCAGCCUCUGUUUCUCUGUGAGUCCUGCACGGUUUCAGUGUCCUUUCUCUUAUCUCUUGCAGUGAAAGAGCAGUGGGUGUAUUGGCAGGGGAAAGGGAACAAGCCUCAGGCAUGUACUGUAAUGGAACGCACCACAUACCAGGGAAAUUGAGAGUGUUAACAUGUAAACACAUAAUCAUGCUUCCUCUCUCAACAAUGCUUCCUCUCUUUUGCACAACUAGCUCCCAUUCAUACAAAGGCACCACUGUAAGCAUUCUUAAAAGAACAUUACAUAUACAUUUUUAUAAACUUGGUGGUUCGAGCCCUGAGUGCUGAUUGGCUGACAGCGGUGGUAUAUCAGACCGUAUACCACGGGUAUGACAAAACAUUUAUUUGUACUGCUCUAAUUACAUUGGUAGCCAGUUUAUAAUAUCAAUAAGGCACCUCGGGGGUUUGUGAUAUAUGGCCAUUAUAUCACAGCUAAGGGCUGUGUUCAUGUACUCUGCGUUGCGUUGUGCAUAAGAACAGCCCUUAGCCGUGGUAUAUUGGCCAUAUACCACACCUCCUUGGGCAAUAUUGCUUAAGUACACCCUCAUAUAUCAAGAAUAUCAAGUAUAACUGAAAUGAAUGAAAAACUAAAUAAAUUGUUUAACUAAAUGCAACCACAGCAUAUGCCAGCUCUAUAAAUUGGCCCAUAGCAUGAUCAAUAGUGGAAUCUGUUUAGGUAGGGUUUCCAUGUCUUGUUACUGUAAUUGAUGACAACCCUUCAUGGCAGUCCAUUUGUUAAAAAUGUUCCCAGAACCAGGUGCCAGUCAACAGGAAGGGCCAAAGUGCCGUGGUGUUUGGCUCUGCUAUGUACAUCUACGGGGGAUACAUUGACAUGAUAGGCUCAUCACAGGAGUUUUGGAAGUUCGAUUUUGACACCAAGUUGUGGACCCUGCUGGACUGCAUCCAGAUGGAGGUGGGUCCUGGACCCAGACACAGCCACUCUGCCAUGACCGUCCUGGACUGCAUGUACCUGUUUGGGGGUCUGAGGGAGCAGAGGGACCUGUGGAGGUGGAACUCCACAUGUCACUCCUGGAGCUGUCUCAGGGCCGACAGACUAGUUCCUUCCUCUCCCCCCUCCACAUUCCUCUUCCAUUUUUGCGGUAAUGCUGCAAUUAGUUGGUUGUAAUUUUGGGUAGAGCAGAAAUGUCCAUAUAUUUUUGUUAGCUGCAUGUGUGACAUAACUCCACCAGUCCUAUUUAUGAUAUCAUUUACGAAGAUUUAUUUUUAUUUUUAUUAUUACUUUUUUUUUAAAUCUAGUAUAUUUGAGUUUAACCACAAUAUUUGUUGUAUUAUUUGUUCUGUUUUGGUGGCGCCACCAUGGGGCAGUCUGUUUACAACAUUGACAUCAGCAAACCUCUCACCCACAAGACGCCAUACACGCUGUCUGCCAUCUAGCCAGUACAGUUGACACCGGGAUUCAUCUAUGAAGAGCACACUUCUCCAGCAUGCCAUUGGCAAUCGCAGGUGAGCAUUUGCCCACUGAAGACGGUUACGACACCGAAUUGCAGUCAGGUCAAGACCCUGGUGAGGACGACAAGCAUGCAAAUGAGCUUCCCUGAGACGGUUUCUGACAGUUUGUACAGAUAUUCUUUGCUUGUGCAAAAUCACAGUUUCAUCAGCUGUCCGGGUGGCUGGUCUCAGACGAUCCCGCAGGUGCAGAAGCCAGAUGUGAAGGUCCUGGGCUGGCGUGGUUACGCAUGUUCAGCGGUUGUGAGGCCUGUUCGGAGUACUGCCAAAUUCUCUAAAAUGACGUUGGAGGUGGCUUAUGAUAGAGAAAUUAACAUUCAAUUCUCUGGCAACCGCUCUGGUAGACAUUCCAUUCUCUCAAAACUUGAAACAUCUUUGGCAUUGUGUUGUGUGACAAAACUACACAUUUUAGAGUGGCCUGUUUUAAUCAGCUUCCUGAUAAGCCACACCUGUCAGGUGGAUGGAUUAUCUUGGCAAAAGAUAAAUGCUCACUAACAGGGAUGUAAACAAAUUUGUGCACAAAAUAUGAGAGAAAUAAGCUUUUUGUGCGUAUGGAAAAUUUCUGGGAUCUUUUAUUUCAGCUCGUGAAACAUGGGACCAACAUGCUACAUGCUAUGUUUAUAUUUUUGUUCUGUAAAUCAGUCAGAAUUAAGAGAAAGAUCUAGAGUGUGUUUGCUGAAGCAAGUUACAAUAAAUAUAUGAUAUAAUAAUAUAAUGUAUGCCAUUUAGCAGAUGCCUUUUCUCCACAAGUACAGCUUCACCACCCGGACCUGGGUGAAGCUUGCCGUGCUACUCAGCUCCAACCCUCCACCCCACAGGAUCUACCACUGUUGUGCUGGCCUAGGCCCCAGCUACCAGCCUGUCGUGACCACCACCACCAUCACCAGCACCACCCUGACCCCCAGCAUCACCAUCAGAAACAGUCUGGACAGCAAUCUACAGUCAUUCAAAAACAAAUGCUUCCCUUCCUCCUCAGAGUUAGAGGGCACUAUAGAGCUGGAGACGUUAAGUAGCUCAGAGAAGCUAUUGACUGAACUGGGGGACUAUUGUAAUGGUCUAAGUGGGAACUAUGCUUAGCGCUUUGGGAACUGUCUGACUUUUUAAAAGAAUUGUUAUACUUUUUUCAUCAAACCCACAACAGUGGCGCUACAAGUGUAAUAUAUAAUUAAAUAUUCACUAUUAGCAAUUAAUGAUUUUAUUUUCAAUACAAUUCAACAAUAAAUUAUUGUAUUUCUGUUUUGCUAUAUAUUUACAUGCAUUUCAUUUGUAAAAGCUGUCAAAAGGGUGGAGGGAACCAAAUGUACUCUUGAUGGUGUUGGGAAGGCUUUCAAUGCAGGCUGCAGAGUUUGCUUCCCACCAGCAGGAUCCGUGGAGGUUACGUGUAAAGUUUUUUAUAGUAAUGGUGAUCAAUGUCAUGCUAAAGUGGAGGGAAAGUCCAUGAAGAUGGACAUUAUUGUGGAUGCGGCAGAGUGGUUCCUGGGGCUAAAAUAUUUCUCAAGAAAGGGAUUACAUGAGGCUCUGUCACAAGCAGUGAUACCCUCUCAGGCCCCAGAGUGUGGGGAGGGAGCUAUUGAAGAAAUGAGGGAGUGUGAUAUAGGUUUUGUUAAGUCAUUUUUUUGUAUGGCAUUUCCUUUUUACCCUUAAGGAGUUUCAUUUUCCCCCUGUACAGAUGGUGGCAACAUAAAUAUAGUAUGACGACCGCCUUUAAACUUCACCGAUGAAGAAGUUCACAAAAGAUCAUGAACAGUCAAAAUCAUGUUUGUCUUGAAAUUGGAUAAUAUUUGGAUGAAACAAGAUAAAGUUGAAUCAUAAAGUUACUGAUCCCGUCCCCCAUGUCAAACACUUUGAUUCUGAAGGUGGGAUUUUUAAGGGGAUAGGGCAACAUCACACUAACUCUUAUUUUAAUACACUAUUGGUAACAUGAUAUUAUAUUCCCUAGCUUAAAUAAGUAACGCCUUGUAAGCAACAUCAGAGAAGGCGUGUUUGCAGAGGGGUCGUAGUUUAUAAAGCUAGAUAGCUACUCUACUGGUGCCAAAAUUGGACUGUAUGGUGUCAGCAAAUGUAAUUAAAAGUUGACACUUCACCUAUGGCAAAGAUACUAAUAUGUUUCCCCUUUCAUCUGUGUCUGGUAUUAGCUAGUUAAUGGCUAGCUAGAUCUUCAUCUGUGUCUGGUAUUAGCUAGUUAAUGGCUAGCUAGGUCUUCAUCUGUGUCUGGUAUUAGCUAGUUAAUGGCUAGCUAGGUCUUCAUCUGUGUCUGGUAUUAGCUAGUUAAUGGCUAGCUAGGUCUUCAUCUGUGUCUGGUAUUAGCUAGUUAAUGGCUAGCUAGAUCUUCAUCUGUGUCUGGU